rnacentral:rRNA from 1 species
CAAAAACAUCGCCUCCCGCAAAAAUCAAUGUAUAGGAGGUCCUGCCUGCCCAGUGACUAUAAGUUAAACGGCCGCGGUAUUUUGACCGUGCAAAGGUAGCGCAAUCACUUGUCUUUUAAAUGAAGACCUGUAUGAAUGGUGGAACGAGGGCUUAACUGUCUCCCCCUUCUAGUCAAUGAAAUUGAUCUACCCGUGCGGAAGCGGGUAUAAUAAUACAAGACGAGAAGACCCUUUGGAGCUUAAGAUAAAAGACCAACUAUGUCAAAAGUCCUAAAAAAGACUAAACCAAAUAGCACUAGUCCUAAUCUUCGGUUGGGGUGACCACGGGAGAAAACAAAGCUCCCAUGCGGAUUGGGGUAAUUCCCUAAAACUAAGAAAGACAUCUCUAAGACGCAGAACAUCUGACCAUAAAGAUCCGGCUACAUGCCGACCAACGGACCAAGUUACCCUAGGGAUAACAGCGCAAUCCCCUUCCAGAGUCCAUAUCGACAAGGGGGUUUACGACCUCGAUGUUGGAUCAGGACAUCCUAAUGGUGCAGCCGCUAUUAAGGGUUC